CUAAUAUUUUUAAAAUAAUUUUUGUUAACUAAAUUUAAGUAAGGUAUCACCUAGUUGUACAUUUUUUAAAAAGUAAUAAUGGUGUAAAACUGAAAUUUAAAAAAAAUGUGCACAAAAACAAUUUCAUAUUGAUUUUUUUUUUUUGUAAGAGGGGACUUGUGAUCCCCCCAAAUUUUUUUUUGACUUUGAAAAACGUAAACAAUUAAAAAAAAUAAAAUUUCUUAAAUGAAAUAUUUUUCAAAAAUUAUAGAUGUUAAUAGUUAAAAUAUAUAUUUACAAAUAAAUAUUUAGGGGGGAUUAAUCCCCUAACAUCCCUUUCUAAAUACGCCAAUAUAGUUGACACUAAUUUCUUAAAAACACUUUCAUAUAUAUUUGUAUAACAAUUUAUUAAAAGCAAUGGGCUAAAACACAGAUCGUCUGCUGAGCUUUGUCGUCUAACAUCACUAAAUUUCAACUUGGAACUUCCUGUAUACGUCAAUACAUUAACCAUCGACGUAUAUACUAUUGCCCGUUUAUUGUGCCUAAUCGUCAGACUUCCACUAAAUUCCAAUUUGUAACCACCAGUAUGUUGUUAAUAAAAUAAUAACUACUAACGGAUACGACAUUGCUGUCCAUCCGUUGCGGCGCGUUCGCAUGAUAACAGUUGUCCGACCUCUUGAAAUAUAUUAUGUGCUCAAAUAACAUAAAGUAAAUUUGUCGUAAUUGAUUCAGAAACUAUUUGUUAUAAUUAAGUUCUAUUACAUUUGUUCGUGUCCAAUGCUGAAACAACGUUGUUAAAAAUUUGUAUACUUUGAAUUUACACAUAUUUUAGUUGUAAAAUUUAAUCAAUGUAAUUCCUAAUAAAUUUUUAAAUUACUGCAGCGUCUUAAAACAUAUGUUCAUUUUUUAAAAAAAAUAAUAUAAGCUAUUAUUGAAAUUACUUAAAUUAGCUAUUUAUUAAUUUACUCUAAAAAUUAUAUUAAAAUCUUAACAGUUUUCUUAUCGCUAUAAAAAUUAUAAAUGUCAAACAUUAUUUACAAAAAAGAUCGUAUUGGAUUUGCGAAAAUGUCACAGUAAAAAUUAAAUAUUAAAUAAAAAUUGCGCAAACUAAAACUUGUUCAGCGUUUGUUAAAUUCAAGCUAUACAGUGGCGGCUCGUGGUUUGGAUGACAGACAAUCAUACUCCCAACUAAAAUUAAUUAAAAGAAGAAAAUGAAUUGUAUUUUCUUAAUUUUACAUUUUUAUUAAAAAUACAAUUUUUUAAAUAGUAUAAUAGUUAUAAUACAUUUGUCGUGUGAAAACAUUAAAGUUGUUUCCCUUAGUAUAAGCGGGUACACAUACAAACACAAUCAGUGUUUGGACGACCAGCAGCGUCGUCCAUACGGUAAAAUAUUAGUAUAUUACUAUAUUGAUAAAUUCAUUUUUAACACGCUUAUAUUAGUUUCACGUGUAUGUUGUUUGUUUGUUGUUUGUUUGUCGUUUGUAAGUUUGUAACUCCACGCGGCACGUGUUAUUAUGUCGCGUAUCUCGUCGUGUAUGACCUUGAGACUAUACUGUUGUAAUGCAUUCGCCCCACCCCGCUCACCACUCGUAGACAACAAUAUUUUCUAACCCGUAGACGCGCGCGUGUCAUCAAUUAUGUAUAUAUAUAACAAAUUUUUAUUGUAAUUGACACGGCCCGCGUCGUUUCAUUAUACACAAUGCCCCACGACUCGUGCCACCUUUAUCAGCCGUCGCCCUAUUAUGAGUAUUUGACUGACCAACACCUCGCGUUAUACGCCGCUGUGCAAAGUCCAGCAAGCGCCGCACGCCCGACGACAUUCCGCCGCAAAUGAUACCGUAGUCUUCUUCCCGUUGUCAAAGUGACAACGUCUACGAUUCGAUCCGCACUCGCGCGCCGUCGCUAUCAACGCUGCUAACCUGUUGACGUCCGAGGAACACGCCGGACAACGCGUCGUCGAUGCCAGCGAAAGUGCCGCGAUAUUAUGCGAAGAUUAUAUAUUCCUACCGCCACCGCUAAUAUUAAUAUAUAUAUAUAUAUAUUAAUAUUUGUACGUAUAUACGUAUAUGUUAAUAUUCAUUUAUAUAUUCCUACAGCCGACGCCUCUGCUGCCGUAUAUGCCUCGUGUAUAAUGUUCCCUCCGCCAUGCCCGCCCACAUAAACACGGCUAUACCUAAUGCAUGAUACGUUUACGUACUUAAGUCCCUUCAAAUAUAUAUAUAUUCUAAUUACUAUUAAAACUUAUAUAUUAAUACACUUUAUUCUCAUUAAGAGAUAUGUAGUGUAUUCAUUCCGAUUACGGAGGAUGAUUCUCGUAUUGUUAUUUUUCGUCACUACCUCCACGUUACGCGCCUGCUGCUUUCCUUGGAUGUGGUAGCCGUUUCUUAGACUCCCUCUCCGGAAUCGAACCCUUAUUUCCCGUUACCCGUUACAACCAUGAUAUUGAUAUUAACUACUAUCAUAACAUGAAACUAAAAAGUGAAAAAUAAAUAUAGUUUAAAAAAACUAAAAAACACGCUUUUAAAGUACAUCGAACUAAAAAGUUAAAAAUAAUUUUUAAAAUUAACUUAAAACAAUAAUGAACGAAAAAUACUAGUAUUAUUGUGAAAAAAAGCGUCAGGCGCUCAAUAUACAAAAAAUAUGGCAUAAAGCACCCACGCUUUUUUUCACAAUAAUACUAGUAUUUUUCGUUCAUUAUUGUUUUAAGUUAAUUUUAAAAAUUAUUUUUAACUUUUUAGUUCGAUGUACUUUAAAAGCGUGUUUUUUAGUUUUUUUAAACUGUAUUUAUUCAUAAUUAGAAAUCACUGCGUUGACACUUAAUAAGUUCUAUUUAAAUUAAUUCAUAAGAUGCUUACAUAUUUAUGUGUAUACAUAUCAAUGAAACAAUUCAUUAUGGAAUUUUAAAUGCAUUCGAUUAGAAGAACAUAUUUCUAUUUCUCAUUUAAUUUAAGGAUAUGUAUAUAAAGUAUUAUGAAAUCUUAACAGCCUUAGAUCAUAAAAAUACAUCAGAUUUUUAAGUGUUAGUGUGAUGGAGACUAUUAAUUAUUUUAUAUUGGUAUUUAUUGCCACAUGUUAUUAUUAACCAGAAAAAGCUUUAGUUCAGCUGUCUUAUUUUGAAAAUAGAUUAUUCCAACAUGUUCAAUACAUAUUUGUUGCUAAUAAAAAUUAAAAAUUGCCUAUCAAAGACUUAGCACGGUUUAACCUCAAUUAUUAUUUUUAAAUGAAACUGGGGUACAUCAGAACUAAUUAACAUUUGGAUAUGAAAUUUAUAAUAUUAAUAAAUGAUUUAUUAAUUAUUAAUAAAGUAUCUAUGAAAAU